GACGAACGCUGGCGGCGUACCUAAUACAUGCAAGUCGAGCGGACUUUCAAGAAGCUUGCUUUUUGAAAGUUAGCGGCGGACGGGUGAGUAACACGUGGGCAACCUGCCUGUAAGACGGGGAUAACUCCGGGAAACCGGGGCUAAUACCGGAUAAUAUCUUUCUUCGCAUGAAGGAAGGUUGAAAGGCGGCGCAAGCUGCCGCUUGCAGAUGGGCCCGCGGCGCAUUAGCGAGUUGGGGAGGUAACGGCUCACCAAGGCGACGAUGCGUAGCCGACCUGAGAGGGUGAUCGGCCAACCUGGGACUGAGACACGGCCCAGACUCCUCCGGGAGGCAGCAGUAGGGAAUCUUCCGCAAUGGACGAAAGUCUGACGGAGCAACGCCGCGUGAGCGAAGAAGGUCUUCGGAUCGUAAAGCUCUGUUGUCAGGGAAGAACAAGUACCGUUCGAAUAGGGCGGUACCUUGACGGUACCUGACCAGAAAGCCACGGCUAACUACGUGCCAGCAGCCGCCGUAA
rnacentral:rRNA from 1 species